rnacentral:rRNA from 1 species
CCUACGGGAGGCAGCAGUGAGGAAUAUUGGUCAAUGGCCGGAAGGCUGAACCAGCCAUGCCGCGUGAAGGUUAGUGCCCCAUGGGCGUUAAACCUCUUUUGUGCGGGAGCAAUAAUGGUCACGUGUGGCCAGACGAGAGUACCGUACGAAUAAGCAUCGGCUAAAUCCGUGCCAGCAGCCGCUGUGAUACGGGGGAUGCAAGCGUUUUCCGGGUUUAUUGGGGUUAAAGGGUGCGUUGGCUGGGAGGUAAGUCUGCGGGGAAAUGCCCCCGCUCAACGGGGUGAAGUGCCAUUGAUACUGCCUGGCUGGAAUGCGGAUGCGGUGGGAGGAAUGUGUGGUGUAGCGGUGAAAUGCAUAGAUAUCACGAAGAACACCGAUUGCGAAGGCAUCUCACGGAUCCGCGAUUGACGCUGAUGCACGAAAGCGUGGGUAUCAAACAGGAUUAGAUACCCGUGUAGUC